rnacentral:rRNA from 1 species
UGUAAAAUUUUAAAGGUCGAACAGACCUAAUAUUUUUAGCUUCUGCACCAAAAAUUAAUUUUAAUCCAACAUCGAGGUCGCAAUCUUUUUUUUCAAUAUGAACUCUCAAAAAAAAUUACGCUGUUAUCCCUAAGGUAAUUUCAUCUAAUAAUCAAUAAUAAUGGAUCAUAAAUACAUAAAUCAAUGAAAUUAAAUUUAAAAAGUUUUUCUAAUUUUUAAAUCACCCCAACCAAAUAAACUAUUUAAUUAUAUAAAUUAAUACUAUUAAAAAAAUAAUUAAACAAUUUAUUAAACUCUAUAGGGUCUUCUCGUCUUUUAAAAAUAUUUAAGCUUUUUAACUUAAAAAUAAAAUUCAAUUGUUUAAAUUGAGACAGUCUUUUUCUCGUCAAACCUUUCAUUCCAGCUUUCAAUUAAAAAACUAUUGAUUAUGCUACCUUAGCACGGUCAAAAUACCGCGGCCAUUUAAAAAUUCAGGGGGCAGGCAAGACCUUAAAUUAUAGUCAAAAGGAC